UUUAGGUGACAAAAGGAAAUUGUUCCGAAUAAUGGACACCAAACUAGAAGGCCAGUAUCCUCAAAAAGGAGCAUAUACAGCUGCUAACCUUGCUUGGCAGUGUCUAAGCAAUGAGCCCAAGUUAAGGCCACGUAUGUCUACAAGGCUAGUAAACUCUCCCAUACACUCGAGCACAAGGCUAUUUCCAGCCCUGUGGCGUUAUCACCUAUGAGAUAUCGCUCACCCAUGCAUAUGACACUGUCUGCUUCUCCAUUACAAGCCUAUCAAAAGUCGCCUCGCGGAAGGUGACUCAGAGAGUAUACAUAUUUUGUUUGUCAUUGUACAGUGCGCGUAUAUCUCUACUACCAAAUUUUGUUCUAUAUGUUCUAAUGCAUUGGCAUUCCAAGAAUCUAUUAUUAUUAUUACUUCUUUUGGCCAAUGCUUACUUUGUAAGCUAUACAGACAAUUAGCUCUCACUGUAUUGAGAUGAUAAUCUUUUCCCUUCUAAACUACUGCCUACUUGGUGAAGUCAACAGACUCCACCGUAGUGUUGGGAUGAUGUACAAGAAGCACUUUCUAAUAUUUAGCUAGCAUUUCGUCAUAGAUUUUUGAUUCAAUUUUAAAAGUUGAUCUUUAAGUAUCUAUUUGGCCACAAAGUUUGAUCAGAUUUUGUAAAUCGGAUCUUCAAAUAUUUUCAAGUUUUCACUAUUUAACUCAAAUUUUUUAACUUCUUUCAAGUGGAAUGCAUAUCUAAAUGUGACUUCAAACUAACAUACACGGGGAUACAACAACAAAGGCAGAGUAGUAACCCACACCUGCCAUUUACAUAUGUUGACCAAGGGCCUUGGCUAUGAACUGGCUAUUAGAGAAGACCAUUUAAAUUUCAAUUUCAAAAUCUAUUGCCAAGCGGAAGCUUAAUAAAUUUUCAUUCCAAUAUUCCACAGAACAUAUGUAUUUAAAAUCACAGACUCAAUCACUUGUUGAUGUAUUGCACAAAUAUUUUUUUUAAUCAAAGUACAAGAAACACUAUGGAAUAACAAGAAACUCGUUGAGUAACACUACAACUACUACUGAAAACUGUAACAUAGAUUUAAGUUGGCAAAACACUAAAUAAUACUUAACAUUAAUGGAAUAACAAGAAAUUCCCAGAGUAAUACUACAACUACUAAUUAAGGAAGACUAACAUAGAUUCAAGUUGGCUCGCAAUACUCGAAGUAAAGACUGUAACAUAGAUACCAGUUCGCUCACAAUACCCAGACUCGCAAUUUACGAGACUAACAAAAGAAAAAAAGAGAAAAAUAAGGCUAAGCGUAUCUGAGUUAUGUCCUCAUAAUACACUUCAUCACUCAAAAUUCAAAACGACAUGAGAUCGAGAUCCAAAAGCAGUUUUUUAAAUAUAAAUUUAAGUAUUGAGUUUUUAUUAUUUUAAAAAUAAAAUUUACAUACGUAUUUGAGAACUACAGCAAAAGUACUGCGUACAAAUCAAAAUAUUCAUCAACGGGCACUUGGUAUCUCAUGACAGCAAAUAGGGCAACAGUGACCAAUCUCCAACCAAUCCAUAAUGCAAUCUCCAUGAAAUAAAUGUGAACAAGGCAGGCACGACACCUCUUCCUUCCCAAUUUUUUCCAGACAAAUCACACAAUCAUCAUUCCUACAUUCUUCAUCAAUUACCUCCAUUCUCUUUAGCAACCCCAUGGAUGUCUGAUCCAUUCUCUUUAACAACUCCAUGGAUGGCUCAUAAGCAGGUACCAUCCCGUUGAACCUCCUCGAUUCUUCUCGUAACAAAAUCUCUCUACCAUGGGAAACUUUGUCAAUGUCUAAUGUUACAUGAACGAUCAUCUCAAAGUCAUUAAGACCUUUCUUAGAUGUGUUAUGAAGAAUUAUGCCUAGUCUGCGUAUCAUAUCUUGAAUGACUCUUUCCUGACUAUUAUUGUCAAAGUAUUCCUCGUUCAUAUCAUCAAAAUUUCUUUGCAUGACAUUGUAGAACAUGUCAUGUGACAUGUAUUCAGAAGGGUUGAUCUUGAGUCGAAGUGAAUUGGUAUAAUUUCGAUUAUAAAAUCAAUGUUGUUCAUGAGUAUGAAGGUGAAGUUGAAUGGUUAAAAGGAGGUAAAGAAGAAGAGGGAGAAGAGGGAGUAUAUUUAAAAUCAGUAUUAGUGUGAAUACUAGAGGAGGUAAUAUUGUGUUACAUGUUGAAAGUAGGGGUGUUCAUGUGUCGGUUUGGAUCGGUUAGUGGUUAAAAUCAUAAUCAAAACCAAUUUAGUCGAUUUUUGAAUUUCUAAAACCAAACCAAACCAUAAAAAGAAAAUAACCGUCGGUAUGGUUCUUGUCGGUUUGGUUCGUUUUUUCGUUUUUUCGGUUAUUGACUAGCCUACUCCAACCAUCUCUAGAAUAAACUCCUUUUUUUAACCCAUAGAAAAGAGUAUCACAUUGAACAAUUUCUCAUGAAAUAUUUGUACAGUGAUGGACAAAUGACACUAUAAACUCUUAAAAAUCAGAACAAACACAUUAAACAAAACCAACAUUGAGAUGAAAAGCACCAGCUUUGUAUUGUAGGCACUAAGAUUAUCCAACAACAUACAAACACAUACAUGUAUAUUGUAAAACAGAGCUUUGUAUUCUGUUGCAGUGUACUGCAAGAAGAGACAGAGUUGGGCAAAUUUGAGUUAUCUGUUUACUUUAAAGACUAGCUAGGUGAGCUAAUCAUAUAGGGAAACGAUUGAAUAAACAAGGAGACAUAAAACUACCAUUUGAAACAGGGACCAUGGUAACUCGUAUUGUGAAAGNNNNNNNNNNNNNNNNNNNNNNNNNNNNNNNNNNNNNNNNNNNNNNNNNNNNNNNNNNNNNNNNNNNNNNNNNAUAUAUAAAUAAUUAUAAUAUAUAUAUAUAUAUAUAUAAAAUUUAUCGGUUCGAUUUGGUUAUUUUCACGGUUUUCUUAAGUAAAACCAUAACCAAACCAAAUAGCAUCGAUUUUUUAAAAUUUAAAAUCAAAUCUAAUUAAACCAAACCAAACAUCGAUUUUUUUAAACAGUUUAAUUCGAUUUACGGUUCAGUUUGAUUUUUAACCAAAUCCAUGAACACCCCUAGUUGAAAGUGUUGAUAAUGGAAAAAAUAGAAGGGUAGUGGUUUCAAUACUCUUAUAUAGUUGAGAAUUACGUACGCACCAAACCCUACCCUUUGGGAGUGGGAAAAUACGUAGUCAACUUGUUUUCCACAAGUUUAAGGCACCUCAAGGGGGCAAAAACUUAUACGCAUCUAGUGUAUACAUCAAAUUAAUUUUUUUUUUUUAUCAUGGUUAUGUAAUUACAUUAAGUAAAAUACAUGUUGAUUAAUCAUGGUUAAGUAACAUGAACUUUAAAUUCAAACACAUGGCAUGCAUGUAUUGACUUGGUGUAUACACCCGAUGCGUGUAAGUUUUUUCCCUCAUUUUCCCCUCAAGGGAAAGGGUAAGGCUAAUAAAACAUUUGCUUUAGGGCCCAAAAACUUUAAUAUGAAUUUUAUGAUUUUAAUUUCACUUAAAAUAAUAUUAAAGAUUGUAAAAUAUAAAAGAUAAAAAAAUUUAAAUUAAAUAAAAAAGAAAGAAGAACUGUCUACAUUUAUUAAAAAUAUUUUAAAAGUUUUUAUGAAGUCAUCAUAGUAAUAAAUAAAGUUUUCACAAUAAUAUUCAAGGUAAUGCAUUGCAAACAAAUGACUAAAAUCUUAUUAGUUUAAAUUAGUCCUUACUUUUAUAAAUAAUAAAAUUACUACGUGAAUUUAAAUGCUUAAUGUCUUCUAAGAAUACUACACUAAAAAAAGUAGUACGUAAGAAUAAAAAAAUAACUCUAAAUUAUUGAUAAUAUUUCUAUUAUGUGCAUCAUAUUAAAAUUUGGCUUUAGGCCACUAAUAUUAUUGAGACAAACUUGAUUUAAUAAAGCACUCAUUAUUAGUUUAGCUUAAUCUUACUGAUAAAUAAAAAUUGGUAAAUAUUCUUUGCGUUAUUAGUGUAAAAAAUAUACUCCCUAAAUUAUUUACUGAAACAUCCUGGGUUCUGGCCUUUGCAAAUUCCUAAGUCUUGAGCUUUUUGGUCAUCAUACAACUCACCAUACGAGUCAUAUGGUGUGGGUAUUGGUCAGGUGACCAAACUCGUAAGUUGUCCAGUGUAUGGCGGUUGGGUUUUUGUUGUGGUUACGACUUGGUGGAUACGGUUUGUAUGGUUGGUGACGAGUCGGUCCUUUACUUAAUCUGAAAUUUAGAAACUCGACUUGGCUCUGAGUACGAGUGACUCACUAAGAGCAGUAAGGAUAGGUACGAAUGGUAUAGACAAGUUGCAUGUUGUCCAGUGUCAGUCCCUUUGAUUUCUGUCUUGGGUACGACUGGAUGGUACCAGUCGUAUGCUGUGGUACGAGUUGAGGGUUCCAAUCCUACCCAGCCGUAGAAUUUUUAUAGUUUAAGUUGGGACUAUUUUGUACAUUUUUCCUCUUUUAACUCCUUUUGACACCACGACCUAAAACACGUUUUGGGGCUUCAUUAACAUCCUAUUCUCUAUCAAACACUCUAAAACAUCUCUUAAAAUCUCUCUCAAGCUUUGGGUUCAAGAAGAGGCUAGGGUUUCUAUAAGACCAUCAAAUAAGACUCUAAAGGUGAUUUCUCUCCGUCUUUCUUGGUGUCUAAGAAAUGUUACUCCUUCUUCAUUGUUACUUCAACUAAAAGCAUGUUUUAAUGGAUGAUUUUUAUGGUAAUUUUGUGGUAUUGUUUGUGUUUUGAAAUAUGUGUUGGGGGUAUUAGUUAUUUUGGUUGGGUAAUGUUUUUCCAUGUUUUCUUAUGACUUUUCAUGUUAUAUUUAUGAUUUUGGACAUGUGAUUGCAUGAGAAUGGUUAGUUGUUACUUGGUUUUGGUUUUCAAAAUUGUAUGUCCUCAAUAUGUUUGUUAAAAUGCCUAUAAGAAUGAUUUUCUCUCAUAGGUUGACUAUUAUUGAAAACUUCACAUUGCAUAAUAGAGUAAUGGAACUUAAAUUGGUUUGGUUGGUUUUAAAUGGAUUGGAAAGGCCUUGGUGGCCAUUAUAAUGGUUUAAAUGGAAACUUUGAAGUCAAAUUGGUUUAAUGUCUUUGGUAUACUUGCAAGCUUUAGUGUUGGUAUGACGAAAUCAAUGGUUAAUGCCUAAUAAAUAAGACUCCUUAGUAAAUGAUUGAUUAUGUGUGAAUAGUUUUAAUAUGGGCUUAAAGAGGGAUGUGUUAGCAAAGCCAUGAAAGGUGAAGAAGGUCCGGGGGGGAGGGGGGACUAAUACUGAAAACGCACAUUUGCCAAUGUGAGGUUUGAUCUUGGUGAUCGUGUGCAUGAUGUCACUCUUAUAUUUUUGGAGAUGUAUUAGUCAUCUCAAGUUUUUCUCUGGUUCGUGCGACUAACACGCAUCGGGGUCCUUUCAGCAGGGGGAGCUGAACCCAUAUAGCCCAUGGGUGGUUUUAGGACGACCAAGCUACACAAUCCCAGGUUAAAGGUUUUAAAUGCAUGCUAAACACGAUUUUCUUUUCCAGCAUGAUAUAUAUAUAUAUAUAUAUAUAUAUAUGAUUGUGGAUGCAUAUGGUUAUUUACUUUGGUUUGAAUAACAACAUUAUUUUAUCCUUAUCCGGAGUACGUGCUAGCGUUCACCCUCUAACCCGUCUUCGGACGCUGUAUCCCUACGCGAUGCAGGGAUCGACUAUACUACUAAUCCUGCUCAGUGAUUUGGAUUUGGAGACAACUUUCAUAUCAGACUGAAGUGGUGAGCUUCCAUACUCCGAAAGACUCUAUUUCUUGCUAUAGAUUUCUUUUUAUACUUUUGUUUAUUCUUGAACUUUGGUUUUGGCUAUGGUUGGGGGCAUGUUCGGACCGAAUGUACUUGGACUUCGGUUAGAGGCUUUGUGUGACUACUUUAGGCAUAGGCGGUGUCGGUAAUGAUGUUAACCUUAGCAUUGGUAUUGGUAUUGGUAUUGGAGUUGACAUCAGUUAGAUACUUGGUUGGAUAUUUGGUUGGUUAUGAUUAUGAACUUCUUUAAAUGUCUUUAAUUAAUUUUGUUUUAUCUUGUUAUAUGUUCGGAAUUUAUCCGACAUAGGGUGUAGGGCGGUUUUGGAUGGGUACUGGGGGUGGUUUCCGGUCUCGAUCGGACUUGAGAUACCCGACACGACUAGGCCCUGGUUCAAGUCGUAUCAUUUACCUCAUUUUACUAAGGCCAAACACAUCCGCAUACACCUCAACUUGGCACCAUCUUUCACUUUGGCACCUCAAGUGAACUAUGUUCAUUUUAAAUACCUAAAAUAACUAUAAAGUGUGUCAUUUUGGCACCUUUCGACAUCGGCUCUGGUGCGUGCGUCUCAAUAGCUGCCAACAUGGAUUAACCGACCAAUUGAUUUAUGCCAUCUCAUUUUACAUUGCCACAUCAUUAUAUAUACCCAAAAUUAGUUUUUUUCUUUUAAAAAAGGACCAAAACACAUGACAAUUGUAUCCAAUGAAUUAAUGAUACAUGUUUUAUUGACUAAAUAAUUACCAAAAAGCCCCUCACAUUAUCUUCUCCACCCAACUUUCUUUUAGCUUAACCUCCAUUAAUGGAGAUUGAACUUUUCAAUAAUGAUAAACAUACCUCCUCAUUCUCUAACAAUGAUAGAUAUGCAUUAAUAGCUUCACGAAUUUCAAAUAUAUAAUGAAAAAUACGGAGAAGAGGAGGUCAGUGUUCAAUUAGAGAAUAAAUUAACAAAAAAAAAUAAAUAUGAAUGGGAGUUGCUUGGAAGUAGAAUUUCAGAUACAUGACAAAAAAUAUGGAGAAGGAGGAGGUCAGUGUUCAAUUAGAAAAUUAAUUAAUGGAAGAAAACAUAAAUACGAUUGUGAGUUGCUUGGAAGAAAACAUAGAUACUUUACUGAUGGGUUCUUGAAAAUGAAUCUCAUGUUUUACAUUCAUCGAUUUUUCUUGGUUUUUAGUUUUUCUUCAUGGAUUUAGCUUCAUUUUCAGAUUUUCUUCAUCGAUUUUGCUUUGUUUUGCAGUUUUUCUUCAUCAAUUUUAUUUGAUUUUCAAGUUUUCUUCAUGGAUUGAGCUUCAUGGAACUGCAAAAAAAAAUAAAUGCAAGUCUUAUUAUAACUUCAAAAGAGAACACUCCAAUUACACAAUAAUGAAGCAGAAAAGAGUUAAAAUCUGAUAUUGUGGACUUGACCUCCAAGAAUUAAUGGAGUAAAAAUUGUGUUAAGAAAAGGAAAAAAAUGGUGAAGAAUUAAUGGAUGAAAGAGUGAAAAAGAAAGAGAAGAAAGAUGAUAAAAUUACGAAAAUAUCCCCAAAACGCGCUUAAAAUGCGUGUAACACACGUCCCAUGAUGACUUAGCAAAAAGUGUCAAAAUGACACAUCCGUAUGCUACUUGAGGUGCCAAAAGUGAACGAUAUCCACUUGAGUUGCCAAAGUGAAAGAUCGUGCCAAGUUGAGGGGCUUGUCGAUGUGUUUGACCUUUUACUAAUUAAAUAACUAAAAUAUUAAAACAAGUCAUAUGAUAUAUGAUAUAGGGUAAGAAUUGAUCAACAAUAUUGGGAAAAUUUCUAGAUGAUUUUAUUCAUUGCUCAUUAAGCCUCUGGUUAAUAUUUAUACAUGUAUUCUAUACCAAAAAAAGGAAUAGAGAAAAUCAGAGAAAAUUGUAAACUUGUCUCCAAGUAUUGGCUAUACUUGUCCUACAUGUAUAGUAAACUUGUACUCUUAGUAUGGGCUAAACUUGUCCUACAAGUAUUGUAAACUUGUCCCCAAGUAUUGGCUAAACUAGUCCUACAAAUAUUGGCUAAAGCAAUAGCUAACUAAUAUGCCCUCACGUGCUUUUCAUAAGCUUAGAAAUAAAGGGGAACUUCUUCUCUUCAACAUCCCCUCAAGCUGGAGGAGAGGGACACUACUCCUAACUUGCUCAAGAUGUCCCUGUGAAAAGCCCCAGAGAGGAGUUUAGUAAAAAGAUCGGUGAGUUGAUGGUCCGAUGGAACAAAAGAAGAAGAGAUCAUGCUAGAAAGAUACUGCUGACACACAAAGUGACAAUCAAGUUCCACGUGCUUUGUGUGCUCAUGAAAAAGGGAUUCCGGGCAAUAUGAAUGAAUGCCUGACUGUCUGAAUGAAUGGGAACCGGAAAAGAUGGGGAAACUGACAAAUCUUCAAGUAAACGAAUAACCCAAGCUAGUUCAGCCGUAACAUUACACAUGGAUCUGUAUUCCGCUUCUGCGUAAAAUGAUGGAAGGUUGCUUCUUUGAUUUUCAAGAAAUAGGAGAUCCCCCAAGAGUAAUGAAAAAGGCACCUAUGGAUUGACACAUGCCUGAGCAUGCCGCCCAAUCGGCAUCGCAAAACUCCCUCAUACAGAAAGAAGGAUUAGCAUUUAAAAGAAUCCGUUUUCCAGGAUUCAAAUGAAGAUAUCGAAGUACCCUGAGAGCAGCUGAGUAACGAGAAAGGCAGGAUCUUUGGAGAAAUUGACUGAACUUCAGAACUGGAAAUGCCAAAUCAGGACGUUAAUGAGUCAGGUAAUUUAAUUUCAACUUUGUGUCAGGAUCACAAACUUGAGGAAGAUGAGUACAACUGAAUUCUGUGAGCAGAUCCUAAGUAAAUUUUCGCUGACUUGCAACAAAACCAUGUUUUCCUAUGAUCACUGAACAAAUUAUGCUUGUAAUACAACUAACUAUUAUCUUGUAACUAAAUAUUGAACUUUUACUGGUCGUUUGACAGCAAAAAGUGAUGUGUACAACUUUGGUGUUGUGUUGCUCGAACUGCUAUCAGGACAACAUGCAGUUGAUAACACAAAAGUUGGUCUAAAGCAAAAUCUUGUAGACUGCGUGGAGCUAUAUUUAGGUGACAAGAGGAAGUUGUUUCGAAUAAUGGACACCAAACUAGAAGGCCAAUAUCUUCAGAAAGGAGCAUAUAUAGCUGCUAACCUUGCUUGGCAGUGUCUAAGCAAUGAGCCCAAGCUACACCCUAAAAUAUCAAAAGUUUUANNNNNNNNNNNNNNNNNNNNNNNNNNNUUUCCAUACACUUGAGCACAAGGCUAUUUCCAGCCCCGUGGCUUUAUCGCCUAUGAGACAUUGCUCACCCCUGCAUAUG
rnacentral:lncRNA from 1 species